GCGCCCGUAGCUCAGUUGGAUAGAGCGUCUGGCUACGAACCAGAAGGUCGGGAGUUCGAAUCUCUCCGGGCGCGCCA
rnacentral:tRNA from 6 species